rnacentral:tRNA from 1 species
GGUUGUAAAGUGCAGUGGUAGUGUGUGUGUUUAGCACAUACAAGGUCCUGAGUUCAAUCCUCAGUGCCUCCA